rnacentral:rRNA from 1 species
GACGAACGCUGGCGGCAUGCCUAAUACAUGCAAGUCGAACGCUGAAGCACUCUGCUUGCAGAGUGCGGAUGAGUGGCGAACGGGUGAGUAACACGUGGGAAAUCUGCCUAUAAGAGGGGGAUAACAUUCGGAAACGGAUGCUAAUACCGCAUAUAUUCUUGGACCGCCUGGUCCUUGAAAGAAAGACGGCUUUGCUGUCGCUUAUAGAUGAUGCCGCGGCGUAUUAGUUAGUUGGUGGGGUAAAGGCCUACCAAGACAAUGAUACGUAGCCGACCUGAGAGGGUGAUCGGCCACACUGGGACUGAGACACGGCCCAGACUCCUACGGGAGGCAGCAGUAGGGAAUCUUCCACAAUGGGCGAAAGCCUGAUGGAGCAAUGCCGCGUGAAUGAAGAAGGUCUUCGGAUCGUAAAGUUCUGUUAUUAGAGAAGAACAAGUCAAGGAGUAACUGUCUUGACUUUGACGGUACCUAACCAGAAAGUCACGGCUAACUACGUG